rnacentral:misc_RNA from 1 species
GACCAGGAGAAAAGAAGUACCGGUUUUGUAAGCAUAUGGCAAAGCAACAUUUACCUGGUCUGCCCAAUGAUUUGAUGAAGAAAGGAAAGCACGUUAUAUUGAUACGCAAUCCACUUGAUAUAUUGCCAUCUUUUGAGAAGGUUGUGCCUCCAUCCUUUCUUGAAUUAGGUUUGGCAGAAUUGGUCUCCAUAUACAGUGACCUCUCUCAGUUGGGAAAGCCCCCAGUUGUUAUUGAUGCAGCAGACCUUCAACAAGAUCCUGAGGGUACCUUGUGUGGUCUUUGUGAAGACUUGGAGAUUCCUUUUGAUGAUGCAAUGCCCAGGCAAAACCAAUAGAUGGUGUUUGGGCCCCAUGGUGGUACAAAAGUGUACAUCAAUCAACAGGCUUCAAUCAAACAAGAAAGUAUCCUCAGCCAUUUCCAUUUUCUCUAUAUGACUUGUUGGAGAAAAGUCUACCUUUGUACAAUAUGCUUCGGCGGCAUGUAAGAAAGACAACCGCCCUUUUGAAGAGCCCUUUACCCCCUCCAGAUAUUCCAGUUCCUGCAAAUGAAAAGCUGUUGGCCUGGGUUGGAGAUGAGAUUCUACCCCGUGAAAGUGCCAAGGUUUCUGUGUUUGACUCGGUUGUCCAAGGUGGUGAUUCAGUCUGGGAGGGCCUUCGAGUUUACAAUGGGAAGAUAUUUAAGCUUGAAGAGCAUUUGGAUAGGUUGUUUGACUCGGCAAAGGCUCUAGCUUUCAAGAAUGUUCCAACUCGUGAAGAGGUUAAGGAAGCCAUCUUCAGAACUCUAAUUAGGAAUGGAAUGUUUGAUAAUGCACACAUCCGACUAUCCCUUACUCGUGGAAAGAAGGUCACUUCAGGCAUGAGCCCAGCAUUUAAUCUUUAUGGAUGCACUUUAAUUGUGCUUCCUGAAUGGAAACCACCUGUCUAUGACAAUACACAUGGAAUAAAUCUGGUGACUGCUACAACACGGCGUAAUUCACCAAAUAAUUUGGAUUCAAAGAUUCAUCACAAUAACCUCCUCAAUAACAUUCUAGCUAAGAUAGAAGGGAAUAAUGCAGACGCAGGUGAUGCAAUUAUGCUAGACAAGGAUGGUUAUGUGUCUGAAACAAAUGCUACAAAUAUUUUUCUAGUGAAGAAAGGCCGGGUUCUUACACCUCAAGCUGAUUAUUGCCUUCCUGGAAUCACUCGAGCUGCUGUUAUGGAUCUAGUGGUAAAGGAGGAUUUGGUCCUAGAGGAACGGAGAAUUAGUCUAUCAGAAUUCCAUACUGCAGAUGAGGUAUGGACAACAGGAACCAUGGGAGAGCUUACCCCGGUUGUGAAGAUUGAUGGACGUGAAAUCGGUGAUGGUAAAGUGGGUCCCGUGACUCAAAGGUUGCAAAAUGCUUACAAAAAGCUGACAGAAGAGUCAGGAGUGCCUAUUCCAUCCUACCAGCACUAGGCAAGUUGAAUGACAUAGCUCCCAGAAGCCUGAAGAUGCAAAUGAGUGGCGUUGCUUCCACAGAAUGAAAGAUUUCAGCGCACCAUUGUGUAAGUUUGAAUAAAAAAUGGCGCAGAUUGUAAGCGUUCUCUCUUUCUUGGUGAUUAGGGGUUGAGGUGCGGGGAAUGGUAGCACUUGCUUAGUGAUCUUGUAUCUAAGAAACGGUAAAUUCCCAUUUUCUUACUCUGUGCAUCACUUUUAUUAAGUUUGACAUUGCCAAGCUCCAUGGAAAGCAUGGACAUUUAGGAAUAUGGUGACAGAAUGAAGGGAUUGCUAGGACUGCAAUCGACUCCUGUUUAGGUUUUUUUCCAAUAAAAUUUAGAUAGGAAUG